AUCUUUGCGCUUCGGGCAAUGACGCAGCUACUGAGGUUAUACCGAGGCGCAUCAAUUGCUGGUUGAAAACUAUUUCCAAACCCCCUCUUUGGCCCUUCAAGGCCACUGAGAAUUUCUGGAAGGGAUCCCUCUCC
rnacentral:snRNA from 2 species